GGUAGAGCCUUGACAGUGCGGUUGGAACCCGGUGGCAGAUUAACAAUUGUGUUUGCGCCAUACAUAUGAAGCUGUUUGCUCCAAAACUGCUCUACUUAAAAGUGAACAGCAGACAUUACAAUGGCACGAUUGGUGAGAAAAUACUCUGCCUGCAGAUGAAAAUGGGGAAAAUGGCACCUCCCUGUAGGAAAUGAGCCAGCCAUUCAAUACAUUGACAUUUGUGACUCACCUUCGGCAGUGAUGAGGCUUAAGUUGUCCCUGAAGAGAAAAAGGUCAUCAUAAGGCAGGUAUCUUUUAAAAACAAAA